AUUCUAAUAGUUUAAUUUAAAACACUUUAUUUUCAAUAAAGAGAAAGAUAAAUUUCUUUAGAAUA
rnacentral:tRNA from 1 species